rnacentral:rRNA from 1 species
GAUGAACGCUAGCGGCAGGCUUAAUACAUGCAAGUCGAGGGGCAGCAUGACUGUAGCAAUACAGUUGAUGGCGACCGGCAAACGGGUGCGGAACACGUACAGAACCUUCCUUCGAGCGGGGAAUAGCCCAGAGAAAUUUGGAUUAAUACCCACUAGUAUAUUUGAAAGGCAUCUUUUAAAUAUUAAAGAUUUAUCACUUGAAGAUGGCUGUGCGGCUGAUUAGGUAGUUGGCGGGGUAACGGCCCACCAAGCCUGCGAUCAGUAACUGGUGUGAGAGCACGACCAGUCACACGGGCACUGAGACACGGGCCCGACUCCUACGGGAGGCAGCAGUAAGGAAUAUUGGUCAAUGGACGAAAGUCUGAACCAGCCAUGCCGCGUGGAGGAUGAAGGUCCUCUGGAUUGUAAACUUCUUUUAUAUGGGACGAAAAAAGACUUUUCUAAGUCGUCUGACGGUACCAUAUGAAUAAGCACCGGCUAACUCCGUGCCAGCCGCCGCAGUAAUAC